rnacentral:rRNA from 1 species
CGAACGCUGGCGGCGUGCUUAACACAUGCAAGUCGAACGCGAAAGGGACUUCGGUCCUGAGUAAGUGGCGCACGGGUGAGUAACGCGUAGAUAACCUGUCUUCAUGUCUGGAAUAAUACGCCGAAAGGGGUACUAAUACCGGAUAUUCUUGCUUUUCAUAAGUUAUGCAAGCAAAGGUGGCCUCUGCAUAUGCUACUGCAUGAAGAGGGGUCUGCGUACCAUUAGCUAGUAGGUGGGGUAAUGGCCUACCUAGGCGACGAUGGUUAGCGGGUCUGAGAGGAUGAUCCGCCACACUGGCACUGGAACACGGGCCAGACUCCUACGGGAGGCAGCAGUGAGGAAUAUUGCGCAAUGGGGGAAACCCUGACGCAGCGACGCCGCGUGAGUGAAGGAAGGCCUUCGGGUCGUAAAGCUCUGUCAAGAGGAAAGAAGUGUACAAUGGCUAAUACCUGUUGUAUUUGACGGUACCUCUAAAGGAAGCACCGGCUAACUCCGUGCCAGCAGCCGC